rnacentral:rRNA from 1 species
GACGAACGCUGGCGGCGCGCCUAACACAUGCAAGUCGAACGGAGCUGAGAGAAGCUUGCUUUUCUUAGCUUAGUGGCGAACGGGUGAGUAACGCGUGAGUAACCUGCUCUGGAGUGGGGGACAACAGUUGGAAACGACUGCUAAUACCGCAUAAGCCCACGGCCCGGCAUCGGGCUGAGGGAAAAGGAUUUAUUCGCUUCAGGCUGGACUCGCGUCCAAUUAGCUAGUUGGUGAGGUAACGGCCUACCAAGGCGACGAUUGGUAGCCGGACGGAGAGGUUGAACGGCCACAUUGGGGCUGAGACACGGCCCAGACUCCUACGGGGGGCAGCAGUAGAGGAUAUUGCGCAAUGGGGGAAACCCUGGUGCAGCGACGCCGCGUGGAGGAAGAAGGUUUUCGGAUUGUAAACUCCUGUCGUUAGGGGCGAUAGUGACGGUACCUGGCAAGAAAGCACCGGCUAACUACGUG